rnacentral:lncRNA from 1 species
GCCAAUAGAAUACAUUUGCAGAUAAAUAACAUCUAAGCACCACGCUCACAUGUGAUCUAUCACCUAACUCCCUCGCGACAAGAGCUAAGCGCUUUGCAAACUUAUACAUAAACUCAUUAUCAAUUAGAACUAUAUCAAAUAUAGAACUAGAGCAAACUAAGAACAUAAUAAUUAGAGAAAUAAUGCAAUUAGAACAAUAGAAUUAGAGAA